rnacentral:rRNA from 1 species
UGGGGAAUAUUGCACAAUGGGCGAAAGCCUGAUGCAGCGACGCCGCGUGAGGGAUGACGGCCUUCGGGUUGUAAACCUCUUUCAGCAGGGACGAAGCGCAAGUGACGGUACCUGCAGAAGAAGCACCGGCUAACUACGUGCCAGCAGCCGCGGUAAUACGUAGGGUGCAAGCGUUGUCCGGAAUUACUGGGCGUAAAGAGUUCGUAGGCGGUUUGUCGCGUCGUUUGUGAAAACCAGCAGCUCAACUGCUGGCUUGCAGGCGAUACGGGCAGACUUGAGUACUGCAGGAGAGACUGGAAUUCCUGGUGUAGCGGUGAAAUGCGCAGAUAUCAGGAGGAACACCGGUGGCGAAGGCGGGUCUCUGGGCAGUAACUGACGCUGAGGGACGAAAGCGUGGGUAGCGAACAGG